rnacentral:rRNA from 1 species
AACGAACGCUGGCGGCAUGCCUAACACAUGCAAGUCGAACGAGACCUUCGGGUCUAGUGGCGCACGGGUGCGUAACGCGUGGGAACCUGCCCUUAGGUUCGGAAUAACUCCCCGAAAGGGGUGCUAAUACCGGAUAAUGUCUUCGGACCAAAGAUUUAUCGCCUUUGGAUGGGCCCGCGUUGGAUUAGCUAGUUGGUAGGGUAAAAGCCUACCAAGGCGACGAUCCAUAGCUGGUCUGAGAGGAUGAUCAGCCACACUGGGACUGAGACACGGCCCAGACUCCUACGGGAGGCAGCAGUGGGGAAUAUUGGACAAUGGGCGAAAGCCUGAUCCAGCAAUGCCGCGUGAGUGAUGAAGGCCUUAGGGUUGUAAAGCUCUUUUACCCGGGAUGAUAAUGACAGUACCGGGAGAAUAAGCACCGGCAAACUCCGU